rnacentral:rRNA from 1 species
AACGAACGCUGGCGGCAUGCCUAACACAUGCAAGUCGAACGAGACCUUCGGGUCUAGUGGCGCACGGGUGCGUAACGCGUGGGAGCCUGCCCUUAGGUUCGGAAUAACUCCCCGAAAGGGGUGCUAAUACCGGAUAAUGUCUUCGGACCAAAGAUUUAUCGCCUUUGGAUGGGCCCGCGUUGGAUUAGCUCGUGGGUAGGGUAAAAGACUACCAAGGCGACGAUCCAUAGCUGGGCUGUGAGGAUGGUCAGCCACACUUGGACUGAGACACGGCCCAGACUCCUACGGGAUGCAGCAGUGGGUAAUAUUGCACAAUGGGCGAAAUCCUGAUCCAGCAAUGCCGCGUGAGUGAUGAAGGCCUUAGGGUUGUAAAGCUCUUUUACCCGGGAUGAUAAUGACAGUACCGGGAGAAUAAGCUCCGGCUAACUCCGUG